UUCAAUGUUGUGAAGAAAGCUUAAAGUUGAAAAAGAUUUAGUGUUGUAUUCGAGUUUCAAGGACCGUUUUCGAUGACUAUCUAUUUGCCAGACGUCUCCUUUCCCCAAAUAUAUAAACUCUUGAUAAAAGCGGAUUAAUAAAAGAAAAUAUGUAGGUCGAUAUCCCGCUGUUUUUAAUCAUUCGAUUUAAUCUACCCCAAUAUUAAACAAUAUAACCAAUACUAACACAACAGCUUUUUUUAUUCGUUUCGAUUUUCUUCAUAUUCAUUAAUGGUAUUAAAUCAAUUAAAUGGAUCGGUAUAAAAGUUGAUGGUCGAUCGGGAAAGGUUCAGUGCUCAGUGAAGGAGUCGAGUGGAAUCGUCUAAUCUUAGACGAUCCACUUAAUUUAUUUAUAUAUUUUUGUUUGUUGUGGGGAGGUGGAAACUAUAUAAUCAAUGACUCAUCAAUUCUCCAGUGCAAGCACUCAAGCAGUGUGGGUGUGCAUCGCGCUCACGUUGGUUUCGCAGUUGGUAUUGACAUACCCAUCCGGAAAGAGGCAGAACUUUUUCCAUUUGGAGUGCAAGGGACAAUACAACAAAAGUGUAUUUGCACGCCUAGAUCGUAUCUGCGAGGAUUGCUACAAUCUCUUCAGAGAACCAGAAAUCCAUACACUAUGCAGAGACAAAUGUUUUACAACACACUACUUCAAGGGUUGCAUCGACGCGUUACUACUAGGAGAUGAAACAACAUCUCUCCAAGAAAUGAUAAGAGUACUACAUGGGGCAGAUCUUCCUGGGGCAUAGGGAAGAUUGCUUUACCUCGGAAGUAUUCCAAGGCUGCAUAGAAAUACUUCUCAUCACCGACGAAAUUGAAUUAAUGGCUAUCCACAACGGUGUCGAAAUAUUGGGGAAAUGAAGAGCUAAACAAAUUAACAAGCAAACAAAAAAAAUUAAUCAAAAGUUUCCCCGUCGUUGUCCUUCUAUUCUAGUCAACCAAAAAGUAUAAUGUGUAUAUUGCGUUUUAGUGUUUAGUAGAUAGGAGAAGAAACGUUUAUUUAUUAGUCUGUUGCGUAAAUAGCCCCAAACAUAACUGUCGUAAAAUUACAUUAAAAGGAAGAUAAAUACAUCACAGGUCACAUUAUUAAUAUUAUUUUUUUAUUAAGUUAUUUUAUAUUAAAGAAAAAAGACAAAAAUUAAUUUUGAUUAGAUUAU